AAAUCGUUGGAAACGACUGUUAAUCCCGCUUACGCUCUACAGGGGAUGGGACGGGACCUUCGGGCCUUUCCCGAUUGCACGAACCUAUGGGCCAUUAGCUCUUUGGCGAGGUGGUGAGUUACCGGCUUAACUAUGCCUCGAUGUUUAGCCAAGAUGAUCAGGGUGCCUUAGACUGAGAGACUGACCCAACUCCUACACUCGGAUGGAGUGGGGAAUAUUGCAAUCUUCCCCAAUGCCUGAUGCACCCAUGGAGCGAGUGCGAAGGAGGCCUUCAGGUUGUCAACCACUUUUUUUCUGGUGGAAAGGGUAUUACUUAGCACGUAAUGUCUGUGACGUUCCCUACAGAAGAAGGACCGUCUACCUCCGUGCCAGCCGCCGCGGCAAUACGGAGGGUCCGAGCGUUAAUCGGAAUUACUGGAAUUAUAGCGUGCGAA
rnacentral:rRNA from 1 species